UAUCUCUGUAGAGUCUGCAUAUCAAUAAGCGGAGGAAAAGAAACUAACUAGGAUUCCCUCAGUAACGGCGAGUGAAGCGGGAAGAGCUCAAAUUUGAAAUCUUCAAGGUUUUACCUUGACGAAUUGUAGUUUAAAGAAGUGUUUUCUGUUGGAGUUUUGGUAAAAGUUCUUUGGAAUAGGACAUCAUAGAGGGUGAGAAUCCCGUAUUUGACCAUUAUUUCCAGCUUUGUGAUACACUUUCAAAGAGUCGGAUUGUUUGGGAAUGCAGUCCAAAAUGGGUGGUAAAUUUCAUCUAAAGCUAAAUAUUGGCGAGAGACCGAUAGCGAACAAGUACCGUGAGGGAAAGAUGAAAAGAACUUUGAAAAGAGAGUUAAACAGUACGUGAAAUUGUCAAAAGGGAAGCGUUUGACACCAGUGUUGUUUCUACGAAAAUCAAUUUAUGAUGGCUUGAUGCUAAGCUUUAAGACUUUAUCCGCUUGUUGUUUAGUUUUCUUGUCUUUGUGAAUGCCCUUUUCGUGGAACAAGUCAACAUCAAUUUCUUUUGCUGUAAAAGGGUAAGAGGAAGGUGGCUUCGGCUUCGGUUGAAGUGUUUAUAGCCUUUUAUCUCUGCAGUCGGAGAGAUUGAGGUCUGCAGCGUAGAUCCUUCGGGGUUAGAUACAGUUGGUGCUAAGUUAUAGCCUUUCAUAGACAACUUGUUGACUAUGAUCAGUCAUGUAGGCUUACUCGCUGAUGCUAUUUUACCUACGCUUAGGAUGUUG
rnacentral:rRNA from 1 species